CUCCACCUUCUCUUGGCCCCACACCUCCUCAGCCAGCGCCUUCGCUUCUUCCUCCGUGUAGCACACUCCCACCAGAUGGCGGUAAGCCACAUAAUCCAUGCUGUGGCAGGAAGAGCACACCUGCUUGUAUACCUGGAAACCCCUACGGAUGCUAAAGAGAAAAAGGAUGAGAGAAACUGAAGAUUCCCGUUCACCCAGAAACGUCCACCCCCAACCCCGCCGCUACACACCCACCUGGUGUGGUCCAAGGAGGAGAGGAGGCCACGGUGAGACCAUGGGUAGCUGGGGGGGUGCAGCUCCAGGUCACUGGCAUUCACAGCAGUAUGCAGAGCCACAGCUAGCCCUGCACCCCCAGCCGCCAGCAUGCCCAACGCUGACAGCAUCACCUUCCGGCCCCGGGAGGGGCCAGACUUCGAGGACAAGGACACUGCCUGCAAGAGCCCCGCUCAGCACCUGCCAAGACCCCACCCGCCCACCUGGGGAUCUGAAUGGGAGCCCAUCUCUUCCGCUCAGCCACCCAGCACUAGCCACCGCCCGCAGAGCGCCAGAGGCCCGCUGUCUGCCGCAUCUCUCCGUGCAGCCGACUCCUCAGCCACAGCUCGGCUUUGUAGAGCAGGCGAAGAGUGCUCUCGGAGCAUGAACCAGGAGACAGGCCUAAGUGACCAAGAGUGCGGCAGCAGACCAAGGUCACCCGCAGCCGGCUGAGGUCAGGCUGGGGUCACUUCAGGCCAUCAGCCAGGUCUAGACAGCUGGCUUCGGGAGUCGUUCUGGGGGAGCCCUUCGCAGAAAUCUCCCGUCCCGACCCCACCACAGCCGGACCCUGGGCUCAGACCAGCGUGCCCUGUCGCUCCGAGGCGUGGGCACCCAGCCUGGCUUCCCGAGUGCGCCGACCCGUCAGCGGGGACCCUGCCGAGUCGUAGGAGGUACGUGGAGGACCGAUGCCGGCGCGCGCCCGGAGCCUCCCCGCCGUGACCUUCAGGGCUGAGGGGCGCGCGGUGGCCAAGGCUCGCGCCAGUACUCACCUGCGGUGUCCGUAAUGGAAGAUGCCGGGACCGCGCGCCGCCCAGCAGGCCCGGAGCAUUUGCGCCUGGAAGCCCCACGCCCCGGGGACCCAGCACCGACCGGCGAAGCGAAGCUGCCGCCGCCGCCAUGUCGGCCCUCUUUAGUGCGGCCGCCGUUCCCGUCGGCCCGUGCGGGCGGACGAGAACUCAGACCGCGCGAGAGCAAGGCAGUGGGUGGGUCCAGGCGGAGCUGGCUAGGGAACUGUCCAUCAGAGGUCCUGGGCUGUCCUUGUCCAGCUCUUCUAGUCCACUGGGAAAUCACCGCUGAGCCUGGCCGCGACUCUGAUUACAGCCAGAAGAGGGCACCAGAUCUCAUUAUGGAUACCUGUGAGCCACCAUAUGGUUGUGGGAUUUGAACUCAGGACCUCUGGAAGAGCAGCUCUUAACCACUGAGCCAUCUCUCCAGACCGGAUAUAUCAGUUUUCAAGAAAUAAGAAAGCCUGACCUAUAAAUUGGAAAGGAAGAGUCAAUUAUUAGAAUUAGUCCCAUGGAAGUCCUGCCUUAGACUCAGAAAUGUGUCGAGGUUGCGGACGUAUGGUGGAGAAAUGGACCAGUGACCCUGUGAACAGUCUCGCUUGGAUCUGCUGUAGUGGCGGCUUAAAUAGUAUCGCGUUAAGAACAAUUAAUUCCAUACUCGGAGAGGGUCUUUUGGUGGCCAGAACAUCAAGGAACCCAGAGCCUGCAAGCCGCAAACCCAAACUAGAAAGCCAAUUUGUAAGCGGGGGAAAGCAGCGUGGGCUACAGGAAAUUGUCAAACUGCUGUGCCAGCCAAAAUAUUUGCGGCUGUGUACAAAGAUGUCGUUCAGGUGCGGAGAGGUUUUAAGCCAUGCGGCCAGGGUGGCAGACCUUCUGAGCUGUCCCGGGUCCAUGCGCUACCCUGCUCCAACCCAUGUAGACACCAGGUGUAGUCGAUUAUAAUAAAGUUGUCCCACACUA